rnacentral:rRNA from 1 species
ACGUAGGGUGCGAGCGUUAAUCGGAAUUACUGGGCGUAAAGCGCAUGCAGGUGGUUCGCUAAGUCAGGUGUGAAAGCCCCGGGCUUAACCUGGGAACGGCGCUUGUGACUGGCGGGCUGGAGUACGGCAGAGGGGGGUGGAAUUUCACGUGUAGCAGUGAAAUGCGUAGAGAUGUGAAGGAACACCGGUGGCGAAGGCAGCCCCCUGGGCAGAUACUGACGCUCA